GACGAACGCUGGCGGCGUGCUUAACGCAUGCAAGUCGAACGGGAGUAUUGAAGAAGCUUGCUUUAGAGAUACUUUAGUGGCGGACGGGUGAGUAACGCGUGAGGAGCUGUCCUAUGCAGGGGGACAACAGUUGGAAACGACUGCUAAUACCCCAUAAGCCGAGAGGUAAAAGGAUUUAUCCGGCAGAGGAGGUACUCGCGUCCUAUCAGCUAGUAGGUGAGGUAACGGCUCACCUAGGCGAAGACGGGUAGCCGGCCUGAGAGGGCGAACGGCCACACUGGAACUGAGAUACGGUCCAGACUCCUACGGGAGGCAGCAGUGGGGAAUAUUGGGCAAUGGGGGGAACCCUGACCCAGCGACGCCGCGUGGGUGAAGAAAUCCUUCGGGAUGUAAAGCCCUGUUGUAUGGGAAGAGCGGAAGACGGUACCAUACGAGGAAGCCCCGGCAAACUACGUGCCAGCAGCCGCAGUAA
rnacentral:rRNA from 1 species